rnacentral:lncRNA from 1 species
UGGAGUCUCUCCGAGCCAAAGCGGGGCAAGGGGUGGGGGGUGUCUACACCGAAGGGGCGGAGGCCGGAGCAGGGCAAGGGGGGCGCAGGCGCCUGUCCCGACGCGGCGCUGGUCCCGCACGCACAGUCGCGACCGGGUUGCGCCGUGGAGUGGGGGCAACGGAGAUGGCGGGGGGGGGGCACUUGUGCCCUCCCGGCAGCCUGGAGCCGGGGCGGGGCUGUGCGGGGCGCCGCCCCCAGACCCCCGCCGAAAUCUGAGUUCCCCCGCAGGUCGGCGGGCGCCCGGGGGGAGGCGCGCGCGGGCUCUGGCCGCUGGGUGCGCUUCCAUGGAGGUCUGGGCAGCCGCAGCCGGAGCCCGGUUCCUGCCUCCGACCCGUCUGUCCGCGUCGGAAUUGCCGGAGCCCAGGCCUCCCUUUCUCCUCCCUCUUCCUUGGGCUGCAAAAACCGAUGGUUCCUCAAGCGUGUGCUCAAGGCCAAUGUUGGCACCGAGUAGCGGCUGUAAAAUGGAUUCUGUGCUGGUGCGUCUCGGAAUGGCUGACUCCACGGACCAGCACGAGCGGGAGAGCGUUCCCGCGCCCGCCCUGCCGAGGGGCAGCUGCUGGAAAGGACGUUAGUUAGGUGAACCGUCCAAGGUCAUCCCGUGCACAGGGGAUGAAAGCCCAGGGCAGGAGGUCAUGAGAUCCAUGAAAUCCAGGAGGGGUCCCCCAAACCCCAGACUGCUGAAGCGGAAGAGAGGCUGUCCUGUCCGCGCCCCGUCUGUAGGAUCGUGCUGUGUGGACCGUGGUGCGCGCGCUGCUGCCCUCCGGAGGCUUCUUCGUUAAUAAUUCCCAGUUGGUCAAGGGGACGGGAUUGCUCUGGGUUCUCUUCAACUGUAAAUUGGGGGAGG